GACGAACGCUGGCGGCGUGCCUAAUACAUGCAAGUCGAGCGGACUUAUAAAGCUUGCUUUUUAAGUUAGCGGCGGACGGGUGAGUAACACGUGGGCAACCUGCCUGUAAGACUGGGAUAACUUCGGGAAACCGGAGCUAAUACCGGAUAAUCCUUUUCUACUCAUGUAGAAAAGCUGAAAGACGGUUUACGCUGUCACUUACAGAUGGGCCCGCGGCGCAUUAGCUAGUUGGUGAGGUAACGGCUCACCAAGGCGACGAUGCGUAGCCGACCUGAGAGGGUGAUCGGCCACACUGGGACUGAGACACGGCCCAGACUCCUACGGGAGGCAGCAGUAGGGAAUCUUCCGCAAUGGACGAAAGUCUGACGGAGCAACGCCGCGUGAGUGAUGAAGGUUUUCGGAUCGUAAAGCUCUGUUGUUAGGGAAGAACAAGUACGAGAGUAACUGCUCGUACCUUGACGGUACCUAACCAGAAAGCCACGGCUAACUACGUG
rnacentral:rRNA from 1 species